GAUGAACGCUGGCGGCGUGCCUAAUACAUGCAAGUCGAGCGAACGGACGAGAAGCUUGCUUCUCUGAUGUUAGCGGCGGACGGGUGAGUAACACGUGGAUAACCUACCUAUAAGACUGGGAUAACUUCGGGAAACCGUAGCUAAUACCGGAUAAUAUUUUGAACCGCAUGGUUCAAAAGUGAAAGACGGUCUUGCUGUCACUUAUGGAUGGAUCCGCGCUGCAUUAGCUAGAUGGUAAGGUAACGGCUUACCAAGGCAACGAUGCAUAGCCGACCUGAGAGGGUGAUCGGCCACACUGGAACUGAGACACGGUCCAGACUCCUACGGGAGGCAGCAGUAGGGAAUCUUCCGCAAUGGGCGAAAGCCUGACGGAGCAACGCCGCGUGAGUGAUGAAGGUCUUCGGAUCGUAAAACUCUGUUAUUAGGGAAGAACAUAUGUGUAAGUAACUGUGCACAUCUUGACGGUACCUAAUCAGAAAGCCACGGCUAACUACGUG
rnacentral:rRNA from 1 species